UACGUAGGGUGCAAGCGUUAAUCGGAAUUACUGGGCGUAAAGCGUGCGCAGGCGGCUAUGCAAGACAGAUGUGAAAUCCCCGGGCUCAACCUGGGAACUGCAUUUGUGACUGCAUGGCUAGAGUACGGUAGAGGGGGAUGGAACUCCGCGUGUAGCAGUGAAAUGCGUAGAUAUGCGGAGGAACACCGAUGGCGAAGGCAAUCCCCUGGACCUGUACUGACGCUCAUGCACGAAAGCGUGGGGAGCAAACAGG
rnacentral:rRNA from 1 species